GGGGGUGUAGCUCAGUGGUAGAGCAUUUGACUGCAGAUCAAGUGGUCCUCGGUUCAGAUCCAAGCGCCCCCU
rnacentral:tRNA from 1 species